UCGAAAGGGAGGAGCAAGGAGGGGUGAAACCCUAACUUCACAAAAUCCACAAGAAUUACUAAUAAUCUUAAGGAAAUCGAUAGAAUAAUCAUCAAAUUCUAAGCUCCUACACCUGUUCUUUAAAGUGGAUAGGAAACCAAAAUUGACAUGGACUCAAGUAUGGAAGGCUAUCGGAUUAAGAGGAAAUGAGGAAGUUAUGCACAAACUUGGACGCACAAGGUGAAUCCUCAAUUUUGGCGACUUGGAGAAUCGGAGCGAGCGCGAGUUCAUAUUAUACCAUACCAAACGCUUCCGCUAGCUUGUUCAAAUGUUUUUUUUCCCAAAAUUUGUUGUAUUGGUUUUUAGUAUUAUCUUGUUGAACGAAUUGUAGAAUUGUAUCUAGUUUGUUUAUGUUUAAAACAGGGGUAUGCUCGCUUUAUGGACGGGUCAUGCCCAAAUUUUGUUAAAAUCAUGUGUUAAUGUUACUAGCGUUUUUACCUU